rnacentral:snoRNA from 1 species
AAGACUAUACUUUCAGGGAUCAUUUCUAUGGUUCAUUACUAGGUAAGUUUCCCUGAAUGUGUGGAGCCCCGAAAACACUCUUCAGG